GACGAACGCUGGCGGCGUGCUUAACACAUGCAAGUCGAACGGAAAGGCCCUGCCUUUGUGGGGUGCUCGAGUGGCGAACGGGUGAGUAACACGUGAGUAACCUGCCCCUGACCUUGGGAUAACUUCAGGAAACUGGGGCUAAUACCGGAUAGGAGCUCUUGCCGCUUGGUGGGGGCUGGAAAGUUUCGGCGGUUGGGGGUGGACUGGCGGCUUAUCAGCUUGUUGGUUGGGUAGUGGCUUACCAUGGCCUUGACGCGUAGCCGGCCUGAGCGGGUGACCUGCCACAUUGGGCCUGAGAUACGGCCCAGCCUCCUCCGGGAGGCAGGGGUGGAGAGUGUAGCACAAUAGGCGGAAGGAUGAUGCAACAACGCCGCGUGCGGGAUGACGGGCUUCCGGUUGUAAACCGCUUUCGCCUGAGACGAGGCGUGAGUGACGGUAAUGGGUAAAUAAGCACCGGCUAACUACGUG
rnacentral:rRNA from 1 species